UCUCCGAGUCGGUCCCAACUCCGCCCGCCCGGCCCGGCUCACGUCACCCGCCUUCCCCGCCCCUCGAACCGGAGCCGAGCCCCCGGCCGGCUCUGGCUCCCUCUUGCCGCCCCGCCUCGCCGCGAGGGACUGUGCCUGGCCUGGGCGACACCUCAGGCGGGGCUCCGUCCGCCCCUUCCCCAUCCCUGGCCGCGUCCGUGUCCCCACCUUGGGAAAGGCUAGAGAGAGGCCGCAGGCUCCGAUUGGACCGCAGGGCACCGCCGGUUGGUGUUGCCAGGGUAACCGGCUGGCAUGCGAAGCAGGUCGGGGUUCAGACCCGGUUAUGGGGGAUUCUGCUGGGCCCGGGGCCCUAGCAGGUGGAGUCCUUGCGUACCGGCCUGAGCUUCAGGGCUUCUGCCCGAACCCAGCGCCGGCCUGUGUCCCCCCCGGUUAUCCACAGCACGGGGCUGAGCAGCCAGCAGCCUCCUUGCUCGACCGCAGCAGCUGCCUGGCCUGGCCCUUGCUCCGGAGUCACUGGAAAGUUCCAGGCGCCUCGGCUCCCAGACUCUCCGCCAGCGUGUCCCCGCCCCCAUCCCCAACCAGGACUCCUCCUUGCCCACCCCGUUAGGCUGUAUUCCCAAGGCAGGAGUAAGGGAGCCAAGGCGCUGGCUGGGGACCCUUCCCCAGAAAGUGACAUUUAGGAUUCUCUGCCGACUCCCUGAGAAACCCACACAAAGCCCUGCUGCCGGGCUGCAGGCUGAGGGCAGUGCGCGCCCGAGCGGUGGGAGUCCCGCUGGUGCAGCCUCGUGGGUGAACAGGGGAGCCAGGUCCAGGGACGGGGGAAGAGGCUACGACCCCCUGCACAGGUGCUUCACCCAGGUAAGCUCUGGAGUCACUCAAGCGCAGGUGAGAGCAGUGAGGCCUCCCGGUGAGGGGCAGCUGGUGGGUGGCAGAGCUGGGGGACCAUGGCUGGCCUUUCCUCACUGGACGUGUGGGGCAGGUCCACUGUGCCCAGGCAGGAGCACCAGGACACCUGCUUCCCCAGGUAAGUGAAGCAUGGUUGCAAGAGUGCCAGCCUGACAUGGCUAGGCCACGGGCCACUGCGUACCCCCGUGGGGCCCUGGCCACACUGUCUGACCCUCAGUUUCCCCAUCUGUGGGACGGUUCCAUGGUCCCUGCCCCGCGGGGCUUUGUGAGGAGUGAGAAGGCCUCUCCCCAGGUGACUGUUAGGGUCUGUGAGCUGGUCUGGGGGCCAGCAGGGUGGGUCAGCACGUUGCCCGCCUGGCCACUUGUGGGUCAGGUCAUCCUCCCCUGGAGCCGGGGCGUGUGAGGGCCCAUCCCAUCCCGGAGGCGAGACGGGAAGGUCCUGGAACCACGUGCGGCCCAGGUAGCAGCAGGGAAAGGCCCCUCACUGCUGCCACCUAGCGGGGACAAGCGGGAUUGCGGCGGGGGAGGGCCUUCUUGCUCCUGAGCAGCCUUGAGGGAGGGGACAGGUGGGCUGGGGGCGUCCGGACCCUGUCUGUUCCAGGAACCUCUUCCCCAGCCUCGUGGACGCCGGCUGACCUCUCAGAACACUUUCAAGUGCAUUGACUACAAAGCACAGGAUUAUCAGGAAACCAAUUAUGUUGAAAUGCAUUAUCAAAAGAGUAAUAAAACAAAUGUCUAAAAUAGCAA